UUGGCAUUUUUUAAUAUUUAAAAUAAAUUGAAUUAAAAUAUUAGAGAAGGGUCAAACUUCAAAAUCACUUCAAAUCAACCUUGAAAGGUCCAAGUGAUUUAUCCUAAGUUCUACAAGGUCAAACAAAGUUUGACAAAAAAUUUCAGCAUUUUUAAAAGUCAGAAACUAUUUUUAAUCAAUUAAAAUGAAUAAAAAAUAACCUAAUUGAACUAAAAUCUCAAAUAAAUCUCAAAUCA
rnacentral:lncRNA from 1 species